rnacentral:rRNA from 1 species
AGUGAACGCUGGCGGCAGGCCUAACACAUGCAAGUCGAACGGCAGCACAGCAGUAGCAAUACUGUGGGUGGCGAGUGGCGGACGGGUGAGGAAUACAUCGGAAUCUGCCUAGUCGUGGGGGAUAACGUAGGGAAACUUACGCUAAUACCGCAUACGACCUACGGGUGAAAGCGGGGGAUCGCAAGACCUCGCGCGAUUAGAUGAGCCGAUGUCCGAUUAGCUAGUUGGCGGGGUAAUGGGCUCACCAAGGCGACGAUCCUUAGCUGGUCUGAGAGGAUGAUCAGCCACACUGGGACUGAGACACGGCCCAGACUCCUACGGGAGGCAGCAGUGGGGAAUAUUGGACAAUGGGCGAAAGCCUGAUCCAGCCAUGCCGCGUGAGUGAUGAAGGCCUUAGGGUUGUAAAGCUCUUUCGCCAGGGGAAGAUAAUGACGGUACCUGGAAAAGAAGCCUCGGCUAACUCCGUGCCAGCAGCCGCGGUAAU